UGGGGAAUAUUGCACAAUGGAGGAAACUCUGAUGCAGCAACGCCGCGUGGAGGAUGACGCAUUUCGGUGUGUAAACUCCUUUUAUAGGGGAAGAUAAUGACGGUACCCUAUGAAUAAGCACCGGCUAACUCCGUGCCAGCAGCCGCGGUAAUACGGAGGGUGCAAGCGUUACUCGGAAUCACUGGGCGUAAAGGAUGCGUAGGCUGGAAAUCAAGUCGAAAGUGAAAUCCAACGGCUCAACCGUUGAACU
rnacentral:rRNA from 1 species